GAAGUAAGCUGGGCAAUCGCCGGUGCAGUGCCGAAAGGCCGCACGGGAGGAAAGUCCGAGCUCCAUAGGGCAGGGUGCCGGAUAACGUCCGGCGAGAGCGAUCUUAGGGAUAGUGCCACAGAAAUGUAGACCGCCGAUGGCUCGUGCACGCACGAGCACAGGCAAGGAUGCAACGGUGCGGUAAGAGCGCACCAGCAGCUCGGAGACGAGCUGGCUAGGUAAACCCCACCUGGAGCAAGACCGGAUAGGAGUGCAUAUGUGGUUGCCCGCCACGCACUCGGGUUGGUCGCUUGAGCGUACUGGCAACAGUGCGCCUAGAUAGAUGAUUGCUACUCCAUACGUGCGAGGUAUCACGAGGGCAUCGCGUGUCCAUUCGAUACCGCUCGGAGCACAGGAGCACAGAACUCGGCUUACAGGCUUGCUUCUUCG
rnacentral:RNase_P_RNA from 2 species